CAGGGAUAAAAGGAGGAAACUUAGACAAAUAUGGUACUGGAAGCUCGGUAGCAGUGACCGCAUCUAAUACACAGAUCUCAUGUGUAGAAAAGACAUCCUGGCUGCCUCUCCAUAUGCUGUCCAUUAUCAUGGUUUCUGUAUUUGUCUUAGUUGUGAGCAACAUGAUUUAUUUCCUGUGGAGACUUCUGAAGUGGAGACAAUCCCAUAGUGAGCUAAGCCGUCCUAUAAACAUUGUGUAUGAGGAUAUGACACAGACGUUGCGCAGGAAUACUAUGGGAAACACAAACUGCUAUAGAAACACAUGAGAGAAAUACAUCUAACCCAGAAUGGUAACUUCCUCAGAUAUGAUUCACCAGCUUCUCUACAGGAUGGCUAUUCUGGGGAGCAACCAUUUAACCAAUAGACUGGAAUCAUCUAACGGACAAUUCUAUUCACUCCUUAUAGCCAGGCCACAGUUUGACAACAUGGGGCAAGAUUACAUAUGCAGCGUCAAUAGCAAAAGCCUGUGACACCGGUCCAGUUUUGCUAUCACAUAUACGGCGCCGCAUAUAAAUGCGGCGUGUAUAUUUCACCCGUCGCACGCUAAUUUUACUACCAAAAGCUAACAUAGAACUGCGUCGCAAAUCGGUAUUCAGCGCAAGGACUUACGCAGCAUAAAUGGAGAAAUUUUACUCCAUUUUCACCUUGCCACACAUAAGUAGGCGCAGCAAGCCUUACGCUGAAAAUGUGAACACCGUAACUCCCUGAAAACACCUAAUGCAUGCGCAAUAUCUAUCUACUUGUCAACCGCCAACCCCCACUGCAAUAACCAAUAAAACUAUUAACCCCUAAUCCGCCAUUAACCCACAUCACAAUAAACCUAAUAAAUGUAUUAACCCCUAAUCCGCCAUUCACCCACAUCGCAAUAAACCUAAUAAAUCUAUUAACCCCUAAACUGCCAACCACCCACAAAGCAAAUAACUAAUUACUAAGCCCCCUAACCUAACACCCCCUAAAUU